UAAAGGUCGGUUAGUCGGCCCUAGAAAGUAGAAACCUUGUAAUAUGUAAAGCCUCUGACUAUAAAAUUUUCUCCGCCUCGCUCGUACGCUGUAUUAGCAGUCGACCCAUCAACUCAAGAACAGCAAGAUCGAAGCAGAACAUCAAAGAAGAUGAAGUAAUGGUGAAAGUUGGGUGCUUUUCAAUGAUUUCCACCACUCACACCCCAGGGAUUGUGGAUUUGUGAUAUUUUGGUGGUUGUAGAUUUAUUAAUGUUAGGUUCGGUUUCUCUUAAGAAGUUCACUUAUCUUUGUAAUGCCAAAAGAUGAAUUCAUGGAUGUAAUAGGAUCUGGAUUGCCUUUCAGAACCAUUUGUCGCCAUGUACACCUACUGCAUUUGCAUCUAAUUUCAUCCUCGGGCAAUGAGGAGUUUUGAUGUUCUA